GUUGUAUAGUCAAGUAAUUAAGUGCAUGUGGUGGAUGCCUUGGCAGUCAGAGGCGAUGAAAGACGUGAUAGCCUGCGAAAAGCUCCGGGGAGGCGGCAAAUAUCCUUUGAUCCGGAGAUGUCUGAAUGGGGGAACCCACCUACUUUAAGGUAGGUAUUGCAACAUGAAUACAUAGUGUUGCAAGGCGAACGAGGGGAAGUGAAACAUCUCAGUACCCUUAGGAAAAGAAAUCAAUUGAGAUUCCCUCAGUAGCGGCGAGCGAACGGGGAUCAGCCCAUUAAGUUAUGUGUGUUUUAGUGGAACGCUCUGGGAAGUGCGAACGUAGAGGGUGAUAUUCCCGUACACGAAAGGGCACACAUAAUGAUGACGAGUAGGGCGAGGCACGUGAAACCUUGUCUGAAUAUGGGGGGACCAUCCUCCAAGGCUAAAUACUCCUGACUGACCGAUAGUGAACCAGUACCGUGAGGGAAAGGCGAAAAGAACCCCUGUGAGGGGAGUGAAAUAGAUCCUGAAACCGCAUGCAUACAAGCAGUGGGAGCACCUUCGUGGUGUGACUGCGUACCUUUUGUAUAAUGGGUCAGCGACUUAUAUUCAGUAGCAAGGUUAACCGUAUAGGGGAGCCGUAGAGAAAUCGAGUCUUAAUAGGGCGUUUAGUUGCUGGGUAUAGACCCGAAACCAGGCGAUCUAUCCAUGAGCAGGUUGAAGGUUGGGUAACACUAACUGGAGGACCGAACCCACUGUCGUUGAAAAGCCAGGGGAUGACUUGUGGAUAGGGGUGAAAGGCUAAUCAAGCCUGGUGAUAGCUGGUUCUCCCCGAAAGCUAUUUAGGUAGCGCCUCGGACGAAUACCAUAGGGGGUAGAGCACUGUUUCGGCUAGGGGGUCAUCCCGACUUACCAAACCGAUGCAAACUCCGAAUACCUAUGAGUACUAUCCGGGAGACAGACUGCGGGUGCUAACGUCCGUAGUCAAGAGGAAAACAAUCCAGACCGCCAGCUAAGGCCCCAAAAUCAUAGUUAAGUGGGAAACGAUGUGGGAAGGCAUAGACAGCUAGGAGGUUGGCUUAGAAGCAGCCACCCUUUAAAGAAAGCGUAAUAGCUCACUAGUCGAGUCGGCCUGCGCGGAAGAUGUAACGGGGCUAAAACUAUGUGCCGAAGCUGCGGAUNNNNNNNNNNNNNNNNNNNNNNNUGCUGGAGGUAUCAGAAGUGCGAAUGCUGACGUGAGUAACGACAAAACGGGUGAAAAACCCGUUCGCCGAAAGACCAAGGGUUCCAGUCCAACGUUAAUCGGGGCUGGGUGAGUCGACCCCUAAGGCGAGGCCGAAAGGCGUAGUCGAUGGGAAAAUGGUUAAUAUUCCAUUACUUCUGUGUAAUGCGAUGAGAGGACGGAGAAGGCUAAAUCAGCCUGGCGUUGGUUGUCCAGGUGAAAGGAUGUAGGCAUGUAUCUUAGGCAAAUCCGGGGUACUCUAUGCUGAGAUCUGAUAGCAAGCUGUACUUGUACAGCGAAGUGGUUGAUGCCAUGCUUCCAGGAAAAGUCUCUAAGCUUCAGUUACACAGGAAUCGUACCCGAAACCGACACAGGUGGUCAGGUCGAGUAGACCAAGGCGCUUGAGAGAACUCUGCUGAAGGAACUAGGCAAAAUGGUACCGUAACUUCGGGAGAAGGUACGCUGUUGUUGGUGAUGGAACUCGCUUCCUGAGCUGACGACAGCCGCAGAAACCAGGCCGCUGCAACUGUUUAUUAAAAACAUAGCACUCUGCAAACACGAAAGUGGACGUAUAGGGUGUGAUGCCUGCCCGGUGCUGGAAGGUUAAUUGAUGGGGUUAGCGUAAGCGAAGCUCUUGAUCGAAGCCCCAGUAAACGGCGGCCGUAACUAUAACGGUCCUAAGGUAGCGAAAUUCCUUGUCGGGUAAGUUCCGACCUGCACGAAUGGCAUAAUGAUGGCGGCGCUGUCUCCAGCAGAGGCUCAGUGAAAUCGAAAUCGCUGUGAAGAUGCAGUGUACCCGCGGCUAGACGGAAAGACCCCGUGAACCUUUACUGCAGCUUGACACUGAACUUUGACCUUACUUGUGUAGGAUAGGUGGGAGGCUUUGAAGCUGGAACGCUAGUUCCAGUGGAGCCGUCCUUGAAAUACCACCCUGGUAAUGUUGAGGUUCUAACUCUGUCCCGUGAUCCGGGACGAGGACCGUGUCUGGUGGGUAGUUUGACUGGGGCGGUCUCCUCCUAAAGAGUAACGGAGGAGUACGAAGGUGCGCUCAGCGUGGUCGGAAAUCACGCGUAGAGUAUAAAGGCAAAAGCGCGCUUAACUGCGAGACCCACAAGUCGAGCAGGUACGAAAGUAGGUCUUAGUGAUCCGGUGGUUCUGUAUGGAAGGGCCAUCGCUCAACGGAUAAAAGGUACUCUGGGGAUAACAGGCUGAUACCGCCCAAGAGUUCAUAUCGACGGCGGUGUUUGGCACCUCGAUGUCGGCUCAUCUCAUCCUGGGGCUGAAGCAGGUCCCAAGGGUAUGGCUGUUCGCCAUUUAAAGAGGUACGCGAGCUGGGUUUAGAACGUCGUGAGACAGUUCGGUCCCUAUCUACCGUGGGCGCUGGAAAUUUGAGAGGAUCUGCUCCUAGUACGAGAGGACCAGAGUGGACGAACCUCUGGUGUACCGGUUGUGACGCCAGUCGCAUCGCCGGGUAGCUAUGUUCGGAAGGGAUAACCGCUGAAAGCAUCUAAGCGGGAAGCCUACCUCAAGAUAAGAUUUCCCUAGGACUUUAUGUCCUCUAAAGAGCCGUUCGAGACUAGGACGUUGAUAGGUUGGAUGUGGAAGCAUAGUGAUAUGUGAAGCUGACCAAUACUAAUUGCUCGUGAGGCUUGACUAUACAACACCCAAGCAGUUG
rnacentral:rRNA from 1 species